AGGAGUAGAGCCAAAGUUGACAUUUUGGGAGAAGCUGUCAUAAGGAAAAUUGUUUAAACUAAAGUACCCAGGUGAACCCCCAUACGGAUUGUUUGAAUCCAUUGUGAAAGUUUAGUUUAAAAAGAAGCAAAAAGAAAGUUGAAAGAAGUAGCAAAACAGAUGUGCAAAGAACAAGGAAAACAGAAGGUCAAGCAAGGCACCAAAACUGAAUGUCAAAGAAGAAGAAAACAGAAGGAGGAAAGCAGAAGCAAAACAGAAGUCUCAAAGUCGACGAAGAGCAUAUGUAUAGCAAAACAGAUGGUCAAAGAACAAGGAAAACAGAAGGUCACAGUAGAAGCAAACAGAAGGAUCAAAGAAGAAGCCAAAAAUAGAAGGAUCAAAGAAGAAGCCAAAAAUAGAAGGAUGAAAGGUAAAAGAAGAAGCAAAACAGAUGGAAAAGAAGCAAAAUAGAAGGAUGAAAGAAGAAGGUAGAUGGAAGGAGUUAAUUUCUACAAAGUUCAUAAAGAGACUUUGUAGAGUUAUUACAGAAAGUUAAAGCAAUGUAUUACCUACUUCUAUCAAAUCACCAUUCAAAUAUUAAUGUAGCAAAUAGUGCUCAACCAUAAUACAAUGGUUUCUAAUUAUUAACAGUGAAGAAUAAAGGAGAUAGUUAAGUUUUAAGUGUAAAUUUUAAGUUCUUCUAACUAGAUCAAUUCAAAACAAUACAAUGACUUAUGUCAGAACAAUAUAUAUAACACAAAUUCUUAGUUCACUAACCACCAGUCNNNNNNNNNNUGGAUCUUCUAUAUAUAAGACAAUUUAUGCAAGCAUAGUUCAAUUUAAGGUUUCAAUGCUAUUAUAUAAACAAAUCUCAUAAAGCUCCACAGACGGUUUACUUGAAACCAAUGAUAAACAAAGCUCAGACAAAUGACCUAAGGAUUAAGAUCAAUAUACAACAACAAUUUAUCAAAAGACACCAAAAAGCAAUACAUACUUCAACUCACAACUCUAAACAAGUUCAUCAGGCUACCAUUCAAGAUCAUGAUAUACAUUACCUAUGAACUAAAACGAUUGAGUGACAUACCUCUUAAGGGAGGAGUCAAAUGUGCUGUAUGAAUCCGCUUGACUUUUCCAGGCUAUCCUAAACUUCGAUCCUCAGAAACAAAGAAAAGAAAUAAUAGUUAACCAUCAUGUAAACACUUGUAUCAAAUGCAUUAAGGUUAAUCAGAUCCUUUCUUAAACAUAUAUUUCAUAUAGUUAACUCAGUAAAUCUACAUAGAGUUGGAAAUAUAACUCAGAUAGUUAACUCAGUAAACCAACAUUCUCCUCAGAACCUCUCCUAAACAACAUAUCAACAUACCGAGAAAAUAUACAAAUCAUGCAAAUCCUCUAUCAUACCACUUCUAAAGAACAGAUCACAACUUAAUGUUACAAUACAACAGAUAAUUCCAAUGCCAUCUAAUUAUACCGUAACCUAAAUAUCACAAAAAGACAGAUGAUGUUUACACUCGAGUUUAAACAAUAAAUCAAACGAUAUAAACCUUAAUUCUGAUAAGCUUUUACAAUAACCAACUAGAGAGAACCAAAUAUCCAACGCUAGUUAAUUGUGAAUCAACAAUAGUAAACUGAUCAGACACGGUGAAUUCAACCAAAGAAGAAAGUGAACAAAAUAAGAACAAGNNNNNNNNNNAGACACGGUGAAUUCAACCAAAGAAGAAAGUGAACAAAAUAAGAACAAGACUGAGAAAAGACUUCUACCUGACUAGGAUGGACAAACACGGAGAAACUAGG
rnacentral:lncRNA from 1 species